rnacentral:rRNA from 1 species
CCUACGGGAGGCAGCAGUGAGGAAUAUUGGUCAAUGGGCGAGAGCCUGAACCAGCCAAGUCGCGUGAAGGAUGAAGGAUCUAUGGUUUGUAAACUUCUUUUAUAUGGGAAUAAAGUGAGGAACGUGUUCCUUUUUGUAUGUACCAUAUGAAUAAGCAUCGGCUAACUCCGUGCCAGCAGCCGCGGUAAUACGGAGGAUGCGAGCGUUAUCCGGAUUUAUUGGGUUUAAAGGGUGCGUAGGUGGUUAAUUAAGUCAGCGGUGAAAGUUUGUGGCUCAACCAUAACAUUGCCGUUGAAACUGGUUGACUUGAGUAUAUUUGAGGUAGGCGGAAUGCGUGGUGUAGCGGUGAAAUGCAUAGAUAUCACGCAGAACUCCGAUUGCGAAGGCAGCUUACUAAACUAUAACUGACACUGAAGCACGAAAGCGUGGGGAGCAAACAGGAUUAGAUACCCUAGUAGUC